GGCUGCUCAGUAUAAUGGUUAGUAUUUCUGACUCGCGAAUUGGAAGAUCUGGGUUCGAUUCCCGGGGCAGCCU
rnacentral:tRNA from 1 species